CAAGGUAAAUGCGGCCAAGGCAAUCAGAUUUGCUUCUUAAUGGUCAAACGCCGAUUUGGAGCUACGAUUCGGACAAUUACAAUAGAUUUGGUUUGAGCGAAUUUCGAUCAUUUCCCUGGGUCCGGUAGAAGCAGCCAAUUUAGAUAGAAAAUGGCCAGCCAAUGAUUUAAAUUUCCGAUUGCAGGAAUUGUGCAGUCUAAAUUGGUCAGACUGAACUUCCCCGAGACAUCCGGAACCGUCACAAAUAAGCAUUAUGAUUAAUCAUGCUCGAAAUAUGAUUCACGCUGAGUACGUCACUUCCCUGAUAGCUUCAUGAAUGGCAAAAAGGUUUACAAUUGUUACCGAUUUCAUACACAUCCGUGAUGAAUUAAUAAAAUACAUCAUUUAAAACAUUUAAAUGACAACAGAAAUAUAAAAAAGAAAUAAACAAACAACAGCUGAUGUCGUUUUCCAGUUAUCAAAAGCGACAUCUAACAGCAAAAACACAGACUAGUUUUCGCGAGCAAAUGUCAAAAUUCCGCACGGAAGAAGGAAAAAUAUUUCGCGACCUCAUUUCGCAAGAGGUGCAUACUAAGCUUUAGCAGGAGCAAACAAAGGCGCUCUCAAAAUUGCCUCCAUCACUAGACGUGUACAGAAGUUUUUGCAUGGAAACGGCGAUAUAAUAUUCACAACAAACGGUCCUUAUUAGAACCACAAAAUCGUUCUCAGAAGAAUUAUGAAUGAAAUUUCCAUCUCGUGCUUUGGAAAAUAACUUCCCUCUUACCGGGUUAGUUAUUUUCUAUAAUAUCCGAAAAAAGUACGAUAAAAUCAAUAAACUGACCAAUUGGACGGAAGCAAGAAAAUACCUACAAAAAUUUGAAUCAGAAAAGUGACAUUGACGGAAAAAUGCUUCGAUCGUUUCUAAGUGUUUGGCAACUGAAGUUGCCGAUUUGUUUUCCAAUGUCAAUUAUUUGCGCGGUGCUGUACAGAACAAACAGAUUUUUGCGCGAUUUGUUGGGAAAUAAUCAAAACAAUUGUGUAGUAGAUUCCGUAGAACAUACGAUUUGUUACCUUUUGUCGUAAUAAGUCGAUGGUAUUGCAGGAUGUAUCCACGAAUAAUAUGGCUGGCUCACAAAAAUGGUUGCAUUUUUAAUGUCAUCGUGGUCGUAUCUUGUACACAACCCUUUAAUUUUUUUCACUUUUUUUUACUUUUAAGUGAAGAACUUCUCAAAUUAGCACAUUUAGAAUUCUUUUCUUAUUCUAUUUGUUGCUUCAACGGUUUGCUCUUAUAACAUUUAUACAAUUUUUAUAAUUUCAUGUGGUUGAUUUACAAUUUCAAUUUCGUCCUGAAAAAAUGUCUGUGCUAACAAAAGUAAGUUAUCAAGUUGGUUCGAUGCAUUAGCAAACCUAAAAAAAUCAUUCCAAUGACUUGCAUAUACAUACACACUUAGUUGAACUCAGCUAAAUCUCCGCACAGCCGAGUAAUAAGUAAUUUUUCAAUGUACAAGCUUACCAAAUCACACGCGCCCUUGUGUAUGUAACUUUACUUUUUAAUCGAAAUGGUCUGUUUACUUGUAAAACAUGAAUAUUGUUGUAUGAAUAACAAGAGAAACUAUUUGUUCGAACGUUGCUGUAAAUUUUUGGCACUAGCAUUGUUACCAUGGAUUUUUUUUACUUAUCGACUUGCAGACAAAGGUAUGAGUUUAAACGUACUGUUGUGUCACAGCAUCAUUCUUGGUCGGUUCCUCGCCAUGUCUAAAAUCAAAAGGACUGGCAGAUGAUUGAACAUAUCACCAAUACACAUAAGGAAUGUUCAAUAGUGUAUGUGAUUCUUCCGUUUGUUUAUAUCACCGAUAGCAAAAGUGGAAGGUGAUGACGUCACUCCGUGUGUUGUGAUUAAUUUUCGCCUACUGAUUGUGAAAAGAAAAAAAAAGUGUGCAUUCAAGACGAUUAGAAAAAUGCCGUCAUGUUCGGUACAAUCCUGUUCAAUUUCUUCAUACGCGAUCAGGAAUAAUCGUUUAAAAAUAGGACUUCGCGCAGUACCACAAGAGGAAACGCGCCGGAAGAAAUGGCUUCAGUUCUGUGGCAUCCAAGAUCUAACCGGUACACACCAUGUCUGCAUUUCAAGCCUGCUGACUUUGAGUUUAGGUAUCGGGAUGGACCCCAACGCUUAUUGACGGAAAACGGUGAACAUAUUUUUAAUAUUCAUUUCGUUUUUACUUGUUACAUAAUAAAUAUUUGUCCAGCUGUACCAUCAGCCCGAAGGCCACUAUUAGAAGUGGACACAAAUCGUUCCAUACGUGCAAGCGAAAGGAGAAUGCAAAGCUGGUGGAGGAGCUGUUAUUAGCAUCUGCGCAACCCCCCACGACUGUUUCGAUAUGAAAACCAUACAACGUGUUACAGAGAUUUACACGCGAUCUGUUAUUCCGGAUAUGACAAACAACGACACGGAUGUAAACUUCAAAUGUGCCAGCAGCGACGUCACUAGUAGCUUUGUUCCAGCUUUGCAUAGUACUAUGGUGGAAACAAGCUCCUUCACGGAAAACGAAGCGCAGGAAAUAUCUAAGGAUCAGAGUAUCACCCAAGAAUCGCACGGUUUUGACGUACUAUUGGAUUGGGCAAUAGAGGCUUCGGAAAUGACACCAGUAACUCUGCCUGAAAAUAGUUCAAUCGAAACUUUUGGAUGCUCAGGUACCGUAGGGUAACCGGAUGCUCAUACUGCCAACCGCGUAAAAAAAUGUAUGUAAAGCCGCAAACGCUCAAACAGUUGAAAGCCGAAGUUCACGAUUUGCGUGGAGUUAUUCGAAAUUUACGACUUCAAGUGUUUACAAUAUUUGAUUAUUAAUUUAUAAAAUUCAUAAUAUUGAUUUUUUCAGCUUCGAGUGAAGGAACGAUUCAAAAAAAUUGAAAAAGAAAAAGAGAAGAAAAUAAAUGAUUUGGAACUUGGCAUUGAACAGUUUCGGAAGUCAGCCAUUGAUAUUCAGUCCGUUUCAAAACAGUCGAUCAAAGAUGAAGUGCGCUCAUCCCUUCAAAAGAUUUUCACUGUGAAUCAAACCGAUUUGAUUCUAGGAGAGAAGAAAAAGGUGGUUUGGACAGCGGAGGAAAUUGCGCUGGCAUUUUCGCUAAGGUACCACAGUCAACCGGCAUUUUCAAUCGUACGGUCUGAAAUGAAGAUUCCAUUACCAUGCCUGAGAAGUCUCCGUGAAUGGGCGUCUUGCAUUGAGAUGCGCCGAGGAAUGCUGAACGAUGUUUUUUCAGUACUGAAGAUGGCUGGAAAGCACAUGUUUGCAAGAGAGCUAGUUGUAGUUUUAGGAUACGAUGAGGUAUCCGUCAAUGGUACCGUUGAAUAUGACAAACGAAACGAUAGCGUAAUUGGCCCUCAUAAGGAGAUGCAGGUGGUAUCCGGAAAUGGAAACAACCGGUCUUUGCAGAUACUGAUCAAAUGAUGACUAGGGAAGCGCUGGACAAAAUAAUUACACGUUUCCACGAAAUCGGUUUCAAUGUAGUAGCGAAUGUUCGUGACUGCGGAGGCGGUAAUUUAGCCUUUCGGAAACAAAUCGGUAUUGAGCAUACGUUGGGGAAAACCUCACUGCAACACCCAGUGACCAAAAAAGAUGUAUAUUUCUUCCCAGAUGCUCCUCAUCUGCUAAAAUUGAUUGGAAAUUGGCUUUUGGACCACGGAUUUCUCUAUAAAGGUAAAUGUAUACUGUGAAUUCUUACUUCGUAAAUGCUUUAAAAAUUCUGUUGCGCAACUCUCACAGGCAAACUUGUUACCAAACAAUUUAUUAUGCAGCUAGUCCAGAAAGUUUCGACGCUUGAAGCUCCUUUCUCCAAAGCCGGAACCGGUUUCAAGAAUACCGAGUUUAACUCCUUGUUCAAACUGACACUCAAGCACGUGAUAGUUUCCGGAGCUGAGCGUCAAUAUGUACGACUUGCAGCAGAGUUGCUCAGUCAUACAACCGCCAUCAAUGUUCGCCGGCACUUUGGUCAAUAUGAUGAGGCUCAGUUGUUGGCAGAAAUGAUCGGUAUUGUUUAUGAUUCAUACCGACGCGUUACAAAUUAGUGUGUUCCGUCAAAACUCCUUUUUUCUCGGUGUAAAAUUGUUUAUGCAUUUAAAUAUUUUUACCAAAUUGUAGCUCUACUGUCAACAUUUCGACUACAUUAAUUUGCUGCUUCGCAAAAUUGUACUCGACCGAAAUAAUUCGAUUAUAGCUCUCGCUGCCGAAACCAAUUGUUCCGUCUUAUUGUGUUGAUAAUACUAGUUCCUCGUUAUGAAUCAGUUAUAGCCGUAAGCUCAAACGCGUACUAACUAUAUUUAAACCGGACUAACUUUUAAACCGUCCUAAACUAUUUUGUAAGCUUUAAGGUUCCCCCACACUGACGCGAUUAUGUCGCAGCGACUGCGAAAAUUUCGCUUAGCGAUUUCGUCGCGCUUCCUGCGACAGUGCGAUUCGCAUGUGUGCCCACACCGGCGCGAAUUUCGCAUUACAAGCGACACAAAGUGACAUUUGCAAACUAUAGUAGCUAGAUGGGACAACCUCAAUUUUAAUCUCAUGGUAAUACGACGUAUGUUGUCCUAAAAUUAAAAAAAAAAAUAUUUUUCGAUUGUUUUAUCAGCCAUUCAGUGAGAAUAGUGUAUUUGUCCGCGUGUCUUUAUAUUUAAAACAUCUUUGCGUGAAGCAGGUCGUUUACUCGACACAGUCUAGACACAGUAAGAAAACAAACAAGAAGAGAGGAUAGUAAAUCAGUUGACUAUAAAUAUUGCAUUAUUCAACAAUCUGUUUUCAACUAUAGUAUACCAAGAAGCGCAGUGCUAGUUCAGCAACACAGAAAUAUACCUCAGAAGAAUCAACUUUCACCGCUGACCAGGUUCGUGUUCUUAUCCGCGAAUGUGACAUUCGAGGUCGUAAACUACUGUUUGAUUCCAGUGCGGUCGAGAAAAUUUCCGGCGAAUCCAAUGCAGCACCGCAAUACAAAGCCACAAAGCGAUCUAACAGCGUGGGAAAUUUUAUCAUCGCAAAAUUUUAUAUCAGCACAACAGCUAUACCAAAAGCGAUACCACGUCGAUGGCCGAAAUGAUUUUUGGUUCUGCACCUAUAGUCUUCCAGGACAGCAGUUUGAAGGUACAUUGAUUAAAAACUCGAAAAACCAUUAAGUAUGCUUACGUGUUUCAGUAGCCAACAGUAGCAGCAACAGCAGUAAAAAAGUAUCCACUUCCACCUACUUGGGCUAUUAACUGCCAAGUAUCGGUCAGAAUGCACUAUACAACGGCCGACAUACGUCGGAAAGUGAUCGUAGCUCUAUAGGUACAACGUCACUACGGUCGUUUACUGUUACUUCGUCCACUUUGACGUAAUAUGAUACUUCGUACAACCACAGACAAAGGCCACCACUGCCAAUCGAGUUUGCGCAUUUGGAGCAUCUGGCAGAUCCGAGACUUUCAACCAAAAGUGGCCUUGACUCAGGGUAUGGUGGAACGGAACCUUGGGCGUUUUCAUCAAGUCAACCACGCCAUCGCACCAAAACAGUCUAGCAUCAAUUUCUAGUGAUUUCGAAGACUUAGUUUAGAUACCAGUAUUGAUUGAGCCAGUGGUAAAAAUCGACGGAAUAGUGAAACCAUAGUACUGACUAGACAAAAAGCGUUUAGCGGGGAAGUUCUUUCCACUGCAACCAAUUAUCGCGGGAGACCUUUGCACAAAAAGGCACGUCUAGGAAUUGUGCUGUGCGCUCAACUAAACGAUGACAUGCUGCAGGAAAUUGAAGCAUUCAGCUCGGAACACAUGAGUAUAUUUGAAUCAAUGCUGUGUCGUUUAAGAAUGGCGGCGGAAAACGCAAGCUACAGGUAGCCGCAGUUACUCCAGAUAAUGCUGGCUGCCGGCAUAACGCAGCAGUGCCCAAUGGAUUUUUUUCUGUACCCAAUGUCCCAUGUGGCUAACGCUAAGCAGUGGUGCGUGCACUCUUGGAACUCAAAGCAGUACAUGUUCUAAUCGGGCUGCGCUUAAAAUUGAUAAUAAUUUUAUGAACGAUCUUUGUUACCUGCUAUUGCUGGCCGACAUUAAGGAUACACAUUUUUUCAUCAGCGCACUACUAACGGCGAUAUUAAAGUACUACCUGGGCUGGGUGAGUACCAUUGCCCCUGUGAGUGGUUCCGCUUACGAAGCAGAUACAGAUUGUGCUACAAUACAGCGAUAGAAGGAGAAGCGGUGCAAACUAACUACCAAUCACCCGUACAUCGUACUGUGGGUCCAAUGUAGCUAUAUGUAUGGAACCGUCGGACACCCGGUGAAACUGUCGAGAACAAUGAUCUGCAGAAGCCCCCAAUUGAGCAAUACCAUGGAUAAAAUUCUAAAUGAGCUAUCUUACGUCGUAAGAUGUAGCGAGAUCAAGCGGGUUGUCCUCGCAGAGGCUUUCGACGAGUAUAAAGCUGAGCAGGCAUUCGCUGCGCAAAAGAUUAUAAAUAAUUAUUCGCUCCUUAUGUUAAUUGUUAACUUUAAUCAAAAAUGCUUUUCCUUGACCUGAUGUACAGUGUAAAUUAACAGAUUUUCGUACGUAAUAAAACUGCAAAAUUACGAAAAAUACAAAUUAUA